rnacentral:rRNA from 1 species
AGUAGCGUGAAGGAUGACUGCCCUAUGGGUUGUAAACUUCUUUUAUACGGGAAUAAAGUGGAGUAUGCAUACUCCUUUGUAUGUACCGUAUGAAUAAGGAUCGGCUAACUCCGUGCCAGCAGCCGCGGUAAUACGGAGGAUCCGAGCGUUAUCCGGAUUUAUUGGGUUUAAAGGGAGCGUAGGCGGGUGCUUAAGUCAGUUGUGAAAGUUUGCGGCUCAACCGUAAAAUUGCAGUUGAUACUGGGUACCUUGAGUGCAGCAUAGGUAGGCGGAAUUCGUGGUGUAGCGGUGAAAUGCUUAGAUAUCACGAAGAACUCCGAUUGCGAAGGCAGCUUACUGGACUGUAACUGACGCUGAUGCUCGAAAGUGUGGGUAUCAAACAGGAUUAGAUACCCUGGUAGUCCACACAGUAAACGAUGAAUACUCGCUGUUGGCGAUACACAGUCAGCGGCCAAGCGAAAGCAUUAAGUAUUCCACCUGGGGAGUACGCCGGCAACGGUGAAACUCAAAGGAAUUGACGGGGGCCCGCACAAGCGGAGGAACAUGUGGUUUAAUUCGAUGAUACGCGAGGAACCUUACCCGGGCAUAAAUUGCAGCGGAAUGUAGUGGAAACAUUACAGCCUUCGGGCCGCUGUGAAGGUGCUGCAUGGUUGUCGUCAGCUCGUGCCGUGAGGUGUCGGCUUAAGUGCCAUAACGAGCGCAACCCUUAUCUAUAGUUACUAUCAGGUCAUGCUGAGGACUCUAUGGAGACUGCCGUCGUAAGAUGUGAGGAAGGUGG